rnacentral:piRNA from 1 species
AAAUGACAGUGUGUAUCGGAAAGU